GACGAACGCUGGCGGCGUGCUUAACACAUGCAAGUCGAACGGAAAGGCCCUGCUUUUGUUGGGUGCUCGAGUGGCGAACGGGUGAGUAACACGUGAGUAACCUGCCCUUCACUUUGGGAUAACCUCAGGAAACUGGGUCUAAUACCGGAUAGGAGCUCCUGCUGCAUGGUGUGGGUUGGAAAGUUUCCGCGGUUGGGGAUGGUCUCGGCGCAUCAGCGCUUGGUGGGGGGAGUGUGGUUUACCGACGUCUACGCGUGGCCGGCGCGAGAGAGUGUGCGGCGACACUGUGAGUGAGAUAUGGGGCAGACUCCUAUAGGGGGCAGAAGUGGGGAAAAUUGCACAAUGGGGGCAAGAGUGAGGUAGAGAAGCGGCGUGGGGGAGGAGGGGGUUUGGGUGGUAGAAUCCGCUCUCGCGGGACAAAGCGCUUUUGUGACGGUACCUGGUAAAGAAGCACCGGCUAACUACGUG
rnacentral:rRNA from 1 species